CACAGCACUCACCGACCCCAGGCGUGACUACGUUUGAGGCAACCAUGAAGGCUUCAGACAUUCAAACUUCUUAAUAGACCAGGCGUGGUGGCUCACGCCUGGAAUCCCAGCACUUUGGGAGGCUGAGCUUUCCUCAUUGGCCGUCAUGCCUUGGAUCAUUAAGGACACUUUGGAACGGAGCUUUGCUAUUCUCUGAAGAUACACAAAAUCCUCCACUGCUCACGUCAUAAUCUAUUUACCAACUGUGGAAAAUUCCGCGGUGCCUGUGGUUUUUAAAGUGAUGCUGAAGCGAGCACCUUUGUGCAUAUGUCUUGAUCCACGCCUGAUUUUAAAAUUUCAGAUAAAAUCCUAGAAGUGAAA
rnacentral:lncRNA from 10 species